UACGUAGGGUGCGAGCGUUAAUCGGAAUUACUGGGCGUAAAGCGUGCGCAGGCGGUUCGUUGUGUCGGUGGUGAAAGCCCCGGGCUUAACCUGGGAAUGGCCAUGGAAACUGGCGAACUGGAGUGUGGCAGAGGGGGGUGGAAUUCCGCGUGUAGCAGUGAAAUGCGUAGAGAUGUGGAGGAAUACCGAUGGCGAAGGCAGCCCCCUGGGAUAACACUGACGCUCAUGCACGAAAGCGUGGGGAGCAAACAGG
rnacentral:rRNA from 1 species